GCAAACUAACCCCCCUUUUUUUAUAAAAGAAAAGUAAAUCAUUAAUUGGGUUCAGAUCUAAAAUGCUGCUUUUAAAAUGCAUGACACAUGUCGAAGACUCUGCGACUGUAAUUUCUUGGGUAAACAUCUGGUGAAGACAUUCCAGGAACACAUCUGAAAGGAAGAAAGGCGACACCAAAGCGGGAAAACAGGCGAGUUUCAUUCCUGUCCGCCCACAGCAACUUGGCAAUGAGAAGCCGCAGGCGCCUGGCCUGCCAGAGCAUCCUGUGAACUCUGAGGCUGGGUGAAGACUUCACUGAUUACGAUCCCCAGUGGUUCGCGGACUUCCCCAGUUUCGGAGGCAGAUGUACAGACCAGGCCCACCAAUAUUCCCGAUAAAGUUAAUGGUACCAGAAACCUGCAGUGCAUUAGGACCCGACUUGGGAUCCUUGAAGACCGGACUGCUACAGCUAAUCUCGCCUCUCUCUCUUUUUGUUUCCAUUGCUCUGUUUUUCCUUUAGUCUCUUUCCCUCUCAGUGUUCCCUACCUCCUGAAGUAUGAGUUAAUAAAAACACCACCCUAUUUUAAGAAUAAAACAAAGCUGACACUAAUUUGAGAGUUAACACUGCAACUGAACUUUUGGAGUCUGCCGAUCUGUUCAGCACACCAUUGCACCCAGUAGUGCCAGCAUUACUGUUUCUAAAAUUCACUGAAAUAAUUCUUUCAAGGCCUUUGAGAAAGUAUAAGAAAUGCUAAUUGGGAAAAAAUACACUCAAUUCUCAUGUAUUUUACUUUCUCAUAUCAAGAAAAAGAACUCCAAGCAAAAUAAUAAACUUUAUGUAGUUUAUUUUUUCAACUACUCUAUUUUCAGUGUACAUUUUUCUUCCUUAACUAAACUACAUAGCCUCAUUCGAUUCCACUUGCACCUCUCCCCACGGGUCCUCAUUAACCGAUUUUGCCGUCCUCACCGAGUGCGACCGCAGGCAGUGGAAACCUUCCAAGAAGAGCCUCCACAUAUUUCCUCCCGGCUAAAGCGCCCAAUUUCAGAAGAAUCGAGUGACUGACUUCUUUAGAAACAACAAAUGGAGGAAAUAAUUUAUCUAGUUCAUUCAAAAGCCUCUACAGGAAGGGCUUUAGAGGAUGAGGAUGUUCAUAAUGCUGUAAUAAUGAGAAUCCCCUUAGUCUGUGUCUCUCGGCUCUGCCAGGGCCAGGGUCCGCUCUCUGUCCGUGGAAGAGCUGUCCUGGCUAGGGACGGCCAGGGCCGCUCCCCAUCCACCGUCUGACGGCACAGCCAGAGCGCACCGAGACCACAACUACACCCCACGCCGCCGGGGCCACUAUCGGAUCCGCAACGGUGGGACUCUCGCCACGGCGUCGCCUUCCCCAGCGCAGGCCCUUGCUCCCACUUUCCCUUCUUCCUCACCCUUGACGUGGGGGGUAGAGUGUAAAAUGGGAACGUUUCCUUCAUCCGAUGCCCACUUCCUCAGCCGGAUCCUA